rnacentral:rRNA from 1 species
AGAGUUUGAUCCUGGCUCAGGAUGAACGCUGGCGGCGUGCCUAACACAUGCAAGUCGAACGAAGCUUGACGGAUGAUUUCUUCGGAAUGAAACCUGAUAUGACUUAGUGGCGGACGGGUGAGUAACACGUGAGCAACCUGCCUUUCAGAGGGGGAUAACGGCUGGAAACGGUCGCUAAUACCGCAUGAUGUGUUCGGAUGGCAUCAUCUGAACAUCAAAGAUUUAUCGCUGAAAGAUGGGCUCGCGUCUGAUUAGAUAGUUGGUGGGGUAACGGCCUACCAAGUCUACGAUCAGUAGCCGGACUGAGAGGUUGAACGGCCACAUUGGGACUGAGAUACGGCCCAGACUCCUACGGGAGGCAGCAGUGGGGAAUAUUGCACAAUGGGGGAAACCCUGAUGCAGCAACGCCGCGUGAAGGAUGACGGUUUUCGGAUUGUAAACUUCUUUUCUUAGUGACGAAGAAAGUGACGGUAGCUAAGGAAUAAGCAUCGGCUAACUACGUGCCAGCAGCCGCGGUAAUACGUAGGAUGCAAGCGUUAUCCGGAUUUACUGGGUGUAAAGGGAGCGCAGGCGGGACUGCAAGUUGGAUGUGAAAUACCGUGGCUUAACCACGGAACUGCAUCCAAAACUGUAGUUCUUGAGUGAAGUAGAGGCAAGCGGAAUUCCGAGUGUAGCGGUGAAAUGCGUAGAUAUUCGGAGGAACACCAGUGGCGAAGGCGGCUUGCUGGGCUUUAACUGACGCUGAGGCUCGAAAGUGUGGGGAGCAAACAGGAUUAGAUACCCUGGUAGUCCACACCGUAAACGAUGAUUACUAGGU